rnacentral:rRNA from 2 species
GACUUUUGGCAAUGGAUAUCUCAGCUCUUGCAUCGAUGAAGAAUGUAAUGAAUUGUGAUACUUUUUGUGAAUUGCAGAAUCUCUUGAACCAUUGAUUUUUUGAACGCAAGUUGCACCCGAAGCCAUUAAACCGACGACAUGUCUGCUUGGGCUUCA